AAGUUUAAAAUAUUAAUGACGAUGAAAAAUAAUACUUAAGUAUUGUUGAAAAAAGAGUAAGCACGAUGCGUGUCUAAGUAACAUCAGGCAAUGUGGUUAAGCACAUCAUAGUACCAGUUUAAUACUUCUAUAUGAUCAUAUAAUACAUGUAUUAUACAGUUAUAAUAACACAAAUCACAAGAAAAUUACAGAAGCACAACCUAUAUUGUCAAGAAAGAUGAAAGUGCAGCUUCCUCAUUGCCAUGAUUUUACUGUUUUCUACAUUCGAGAACGAAUUAAAACCUUUUUUGGUUUAGAUUUUGUAGGCGUUGAACUCUUGAUAGGCUCGUCAGAGAACUCGAAGGAAUCUAAUCCGUUGGUACACUUAACUGACACCUCAUUUUGCUGCUUCAUGUUGUUCAUGUCAUCCUGAAGUUUCUCCAUCUUUGCUUGCAUCUCCUCCAUCAUGACAGUAAAAUCUUGUUUGUCAAGUCUAGGACGUGAAGGCGAUUGAUCCUUUGAUCCUUCCUUAAUGAUUUUACUCCCACCUGCAGAAACAAUUGAAAUCCAAUUAGUAUAUCAAUCCAAAAGGCAAAGAUUAUCAUCUCGACUUGAGAAAAGUAUCAAGUAGAGCUAGUUCCAAGGACGAAUGGGUCAGCAUAUAGCUGUUUGCAUUAUCCAAAAUCCCAAACAACUGAUCAAUACUGAAAGGACCUAACAAAUCAACGGAGGGGUGACACCAUUUUGGUUGUAGACAGGAUUGUGUGGGACUAAAAUAACAUUAAGGAUGGAAGUGCUGAUACCAGGAAUCCUGGAGGAGGUUGGAAAAACAAGUAUCACAUGAAUUGUGCAUGAGCUUAACGGCUUAACAGUAAUAAGUAUUCCAAUCUUGUGAUUAUCAUAGCCUAAAUCAGUCAUAACAUUAGAUUACAAAACUUUAAACAAAGUGUGAUCAAAAUUCAAAGGGAAGGGAGCCUGUGCUGGAUGGGGUAUAGAGUAAGAUGUUUCUCAAGAUUAGCCAGGAUAACAAAUCCAUGAGCUUUUUAUUUGGAGCAAAAGAUUAUUUGCACCUAGCGCCCUUCCCCAUACAUAUAGCAAAGAUGGGAGUGAGUUGGGACUAAGCAGCCCAAAUUAUCAUUCUCCUAAUUAUACCCCAUUCCCUGACCUACCCCCUACGCCAGACAUCAGAUAAGACCCACAUUUUUUUUAAAGAAGUGAGUAAAAAAUAUCCCAUGCUUGAUUUGUGUUCUCUAUUAUGUUUAGGUCCUUCCAGACAAACUCUAGGAACAAGAACUUCCUGUGUUGACCAAGGACAAUAGUAUGGAAGAACCAAUUAAUGCAAAUGGCAUUGAGACAAAAUGAUAGAAAUCAUGCAUUCACUGGGCUCAACAUUCUAAGCAUCCCAGCUUCUGGAGAUUUGUCAGUAUUGACUAUCUGACUUUAAUACUGAACUAAAAUGAAAGAGAAGAAAGAAGAAAUUAAUUGAAAGAAAUUAUUCCAAGGAAACACAGAAAAGUGGACCACCAUGUUUGGAGGAAUGUCAUUGACAGUAAAUACAACAUGACAUAGGAAACAGGAAGUCUUAAAAUAAGCUAGGCGCAAAUUCAAACACGAGGAUGUAGGCCAAAAAACUUAAAUAAGCUAAUAAAAAAUACAAAGAAGAGGAAGUAAACCAGAAAACUUCAAGCAAGGGGAAAAUACAUACACGAGAAAGUAAACGAGCAAGCUUAAAUAAGCUAGGCACAAAUACAAACACGGAGAUGUAAACCAGAAAACUUAAACAAGCUAAGCGCAAAUACAAACACGAGCAAGUAAACCAGAAAACUUAAAUAAGCUAAGCACAAAAUACAAAAACAAGGAUGUAAACUAGAAAACUCAAAAAAGCUAUGCGCAAAUACAAACACGAAGAAGUAAACCAGAAAACUUAGAUAAGCUAGGGGCAAAUACAAACACGAGGAUGUAAACCAGAACUUAAAUAAGCUAAGCGCAAAAUACAAACACGAGGAUAUAAAACACAGAAAACUUAAAUAAGCUAUUCACAAAUACAAACACGAAGAAGUAAACGAGAAAACUUAAAUAAGCUAGGUGCAAAUACAAACAUGAGGAAGUAGACCAGAAAACUUAAAUAAGUUAGGUGCAAAUGCAAACACAAGGAAGUAAACGAGAAAACUUAAAUAAGCUAGGUGCAAAUACAAACAUGAGGAAGUAGACCAGAAAACUUAAAUAAGUUAGGUGCAAAUGCAAACACAAGGAAGUAAACGAGAAAACUUAAAUAAGCUAGGUGCAAAUACAAACAUGAGGAAGUAGACCAGAAAACUUAAAUAAGUUAGGUGCAAAUGCAAACACAAGGAAGUAAACGAGAAAACUUAAAUAAGCUAGGUGCAAAUACAAACAUGAGGAAGUAGACCAGAAAACUUAAAUAAGUUAGGUGCAAAUACAAACACAAGGAAGUAAACCAGAAAACUUAAAUAAGCUAGGCUCUGUUAUUGACUUAUGACUUAUAGUACAGGAUUUGGAGGGAAUAUUUAAUAGUCCGGAGGUAAUUUCAAACACAUUGCAUAUACAAUGGCACCAACAGAAUUAGCUUUGAUCUGAAAAUUAGUGUAGAAAGUUGCCCAAUCUCAAGUUCCUUUUCUUUUUAAUAACCAUGGUAUCGCGAUCAGCUUGCGUGCACCUAGACUAAUUCCACGGGAUACCUAUCACCUCCCACCCACAACAAGUACAGGUAACUCUGUCCAUUAAGGCUAGGACAUGAAAGAAACCACCUAAUGUUAUUUGUCUCUACUGGGGUUUAAACAUGAAAUCUCAUAGUUCUCAACCACUUCAUUAACACAGAAAAUAUUAACAAGUCUAUCAGCAGCUGUUUUCAGUUGUCAGUCACAAAAUGGCCUGGAUCUCACAUUUACACAGGAAAUAUAGCGCACAUACUCAACAAUAUAUUGCAUAACAAAACUGUAUGACUUUCCCCUAACACACGAAGCUUAGGAGAUGAAAUCAAUUCAACCAAUUGACAACCUAUUUACAUAAAAUACAGCUCAACCUUAUCAAUUCUUCUAUCAAAGAGCUAAUAGAAAUUGAGUCAACACCAAAAUUGAACAAUAUAAAUGCCGAAUUGCUAAAAAAAAAAAAUGAGCAGAGAGAGAAAAGGAUUCUAACUGGCGACAGUUUUGAGAGAUUCGUCAACGGCAGAGACAAUAGCGAAUUUACGGAGCUUGCAGAGAAUGUCGCUAAUCUUCUCCCGGCCAUCCGGGUAAAAAACGUACUCAUCGGAUUGAGUUCCGUCAUACUUGACCGGGCUGCUGGUUUUGGUCACCGGCGAUGAAACCCCACCACUGUACUCACCUUCUGAAGCAUAUGCAUCUGACGGUUUCUCUUGUCCUCUCCGGUUGAAAAGUUUCCCGGCGACUGCUCGGAAUUGUUGUAUAAUGCCCAUUACCUGUUAUCCACAAGAAAAUUUGCUGCUAUUUCGUCCCCUCUUUACCUAAUAUAUGAAAAAGACUAUUUUUCCAUAUUUAUCCGUCUGACGUUUCAAUAGAUGUUUCAGCCCGUUAUUUAUUUGACAUUAAUUUAGCCAUCGUUUGAUAGAGUGUAUUAAAAAAAAAAACAACGUAUUUGUAUCAUUUAAACUUAGAAAUAAUGCAUAAAGUCUAUCUAAACCAAUAUUAUUUUACAAAUUUCAUAUUUAAACUUUCAAAUAUUUUUAUUACCUCCUAAAUUAUAAUUUUUAAACUUCACCCCUGGAAGAAUAUUGCUUAAUGUGUCUAGUAAUAAAUUAGUUCAAAAUAAAAACCAAAAACAAAAAAUAGAUAGGGAUCAAUUGUUGACACGUGAGUUGUGUAAAAAAAAAAACCUUAUUUUUAUAAGGUAGAAUUAUUUAUUUAUUAAAAACAACUUCAUAUUCAAAAAUUGAAUUCAAAUUUUUUAAUUAAAAAUAAAAUAAUACACAUUAUUCCGCCACAACUUUUAGUGGUAAACCAAAAAAUCACUCAUUAUUCUUUUACCUAAUUAAAAAAAUUAGGGGAAAAAAUGUAGUUCAACCAUAUUGUCAUGCUACUUUACUGAAAUGUACUAAAGUAAAAUAUUCUGUCAUAAGCUCUAAUUUUAUUUUAUUUUUGGUGAGUACAAAAUUGCAAAUGCCAAUUCUUGCCAUUUGUGUUAAACUCAAGCAAAUCGAGUCAAUUUUAUUUAUUUAUUUAUUUAUUUAUUUAUUUUCAGAGUUAUCUUUUGUGACAUAUGGAGAGAAAGUGGCAAAAACUAUAUGUUUUGAAGGUAGUUUAAAAAAAAUGAGAGGAAACGAGAUUUCUUUGUUUUCUUAUAUAAUUUAAAUAGAGAAACAUAAUUUUUUAAAGAUUUUUUUACGUGGAAAGAUGAAAAUCUCUUAUAUGUAAAAAUUAAAAAAUAUUUCCACAGUUCGAUAAAUAUUUGACGAAGACUUAAAAUACUAACCAAAAAUUGCUCAAUGCAUAUUUAAGGAAUUAUUGUUAACCUGACCAUCAAAAUUGUCACAUCCAAUCCUAUACCUCAAAGUGAAAUAUAAUAUGAUCGUAGCAAUAAUAAACCUAACAAAAAGUUGAGGUUGACCCCAAGAGGAGUAUGUGUGUGUCAAGGCAUUUGAGAGUGUGAAUUUUCUAAACUAAUUUCAAACAAGGGAAUGAUCGAAUAAUUACUUUUAAAACUAGACUAUUUUAAUAAGCUACGACUCAGACACUAAUGAAUUUAUUUUCAAUUAUAAAAGAACUUGAAAUUGUAGCCUCAAUAUGACAUACCUAAUUCAUGAGCACAAGUAUCUUGCUCAAAUACAUCUUUUCCAUCUGCAAAUGUUUAAGAAGUCAUCUCCUGAUUCGUUGAUCUAUAGAUCAAGCUUAGGCAGGUUUGCAUAUAGUGUUUUAGACGGAAGGAUUAAUAAUAAAAAAUAAUUGUAUUGAUAAUUACUUCUUGGAGUUUAUCAACUUUAUCAAGCUAAUUUCCAAAAGUUCUUCACGUUGGGUUCUAGUGUUGAAAAUGAAUAGAAAAUGGAGGGAAUGUGAAAAAAUAACUUCACUUAUUGAAAGAGUCUUUCUCUCACAUUGAUAGGAUAAAGGAACUUUCAAGUGUUUAAAUAUCGAACCACUUCUUCAUGUUGUUAAUUAAGGGUCGAGAAGAAGACAAGCCUCACACUUAAGUGUGUAAGGCCUAGAGAUGUUGGGGAUAUUAUUUGCUUUGAGCUUACGCCUGCACGACUUCUUGUCUUAAGUUGAGGUAUCACACAACCCCAGCUAUAAAUGAAACUAAUAUUGUUUUUGGAAUUUGAAAUGCAUACUUUAGUUUUUAUGUGUCUGGUAGUGCAAAUUCUCAGAGUUUCAGACUCCAGAAAGCAUUAAUAAUGUCCAAACAUCAGGCAAUGUGGUUAAGCACAUCAUAAUACCAGUUUAAUACUUCUAUAUGAUCAUAUAAUACAUGUAUUACAGAGUUAUAACACAAAUCACAAGAAAAUUACAGAAGCACAACCUAUAUUGUCAAGAAAGAUGAAAG
rnacentral:lncRNA from 1 species